CUAAAAUCAGAUGAUGCAGCGGCUCGACAUCGAGACAGUUGUUAAAUCUUCGGAGCCUAAAGAUGAGCCUGCGUCUGAUUAGGUAGUUGGCGGUGUAAUGGACCACCAAGCCUGCGAUCAGUAGCUGGUCUGAGAGGAUGAUCAGCCACACUGGAACUGAGACACGGUUCCAGACUCCUACGGGAGGCAGCAGUAAGGAAUAUUGCUCAAUGGCCGAAAGGCUGAAGCAGCAACGCCGCGUGGAGGAUGAAAUACUUUUGUAUGUAAACUCCUGUAAGAAGGGAAAAAUGUUCCGAUUCAUCGGAAUUGAUUGUACCUUCAGAGUAAGCCCCGGCUAACUACGUG
rnacentral:rRNA from 1 species